rnacentral:lncRNA from 1 species
UUCUCACGAUCUCUAGCAUAGAGAUCAACAUCCUCUUACUACUUCUUCUCUAAGAGUAUUUUGAGAAAAAAGAAGAUUUUCAACCAUCAAAAUACGAUCGCUGUAAGGGAGCUAGCACCUCGAUGAGAUUAAAAAAUUUCUGAUCAGAUCAGAAUCUCAUGUGGAUAUCCAUAGUGGUCAUAUGCUUGUGCGGCUAUAAAGAACCUUUGGAAGAC